rfam:Salmo salar isolate Sally breed double haploid chromosome ssa06, whole genome shotgun sequence.
UCCCGUGUGGCUGAGUUGGUAGAGAAUGGUGCUUGCAAUGCCAGAAUUGUGGGUUCGAUUCCCACAGGGGAC